rnacentral:rRNA from 1 species
CCUAUGGGUUGUAAACUGCUUUUAUACAGGAAGAAACACUGGUAUGUGUACCAAGAUUGACGGGACUGUACGAAUAAAGACCGGCUAACUCCACGCCAGCAGCCGCGGUAAU